rnacentral:rRNA from 1 species
UGGGGAAUUUUGGACAAUGGGCGAAAGCCUGAUCCAGCCAUGCCGCGUGAGUGAAGAAGGCCUUCGGGUUGUAAAGCUCUUUUAGUCGGAAAGAAAGAGUCAUAGUAAAUAUCUAUGAGUUAUGACGGUUCCGACAGAAAAAGC